rnacentral:rRNA from 1 species
CCCUUAGAUGUCCUGGGCUGCACGCGCGCUACACUGACACGUUCAACGAGUUUUGCCUGCUCCGAUGGGACUGGGUAAUCUUAUGAAAGCGUGUCGUGAUGGAGAUAGAUUAUUGCAAUUAUUAAUCUUCAACGAGGAAUUCCUAGUAAGUACAAGUCAUCAGCUUGUGCUGAUUACGUCCCUGCCCUUUGUACACACCGCCCGUCGCUCCUACCGAUUGGGUGAUCCGGUGAAUAACUCGGACUGCAGCUAUUCGGGAGACCGUUAGCUUGUGGAAAGUUUAGUAAAUCUUAUCACUUAGAGGAAGGAGAAGUCGUAACA